rnacentral:lncRNA from 1 species
UGUUUAGAGAUUUCAUAUUGAUGAUUUUCCCAAUAAUUGGCAUCAUAGCAAAGGUUUCGAUAAAGGGAGGAAUAGAAGUUGUCAUGCGGCAUUCAUUUCAAGAGAGGUUAGUUAUCAUCUUAUUUGUGUUUUCUCUUAGAUAGUGUUAUGAAUAUUUUGAAGUUGGAUGGUCCUUUGUUUGAUGGAAGGAUGAACUUCUCUUUAUGGCAACACACAAGUCCAAAUUCAUAGAGGAUUUGUGAAGCCUAAUAGGGAAGUCAGAAAAGUUGAAGAGUACUCCUUCUAUUAAUGCGAAGAUGACAACAAAGUAAAGAAAUGUGACACUUCAGAUGAAGGGAGAGUAUCUUAUUUAGAAUUGGUAUUCGUCAAAGUCUCAUAUCAAAUAAUGGGAAGAAAAAUCAACUAAAGUUUUAGGAUAAUCAUGACACCUCCCCAUAUCCCCAACUAAAUUUUUCCAUGUUUGCAAACAUAUUUGUGUACAAUUGAGUGAUAUCAAGUUUAAAUUUGUUCCAUUAAAAAAGUUUAAAUUUGUGUUUACGGAG